rfam:Mus musculus chromosome 12, GRC primary reference assembly.
AGAGGUGAGAGGGUGAUCUGGCUGCGACAUCUGUCACCCCAUUGAUCACAGGGGUUGAUUUGGCUGAUCUGACUUGCUAGGUGAAUGUACCCUUCCUCCUCACUGCUCCUGGAGUGUGUCGCUCCUGAAGCUGCACAAUUGGGCGAAGGGGAUGGCCUUCCCAGAAUAGAGAAGGACUAGUCUUUAGUCAAGGGUAUAGGAGUAAGUGUGCUCGCCUUGUUAGUACCUCCAAACAAGCUCUCAAAAAGAGUUUAUGAAUGAAAUAAAAUAUUCUAAGGCUUAAAGAGGAGGCCUAGUU